rnacentral:lncRNA from 13 species
GGAAAGGGUAGCUGACGUGCACCAAGAUAAACCGCCGAUGUCUUUGACAUUUGAUCUUCCUAUAGUGUUUCUCCUCCAAUGCAAGAAUCCCUGUGUGUCACCCCUUCUCCAACCCCCACCACCAUCUUUGGCGACGCUCCGGGAGGCGACAGGGACCUGGCGACUCCAUAGAUCCAGCGCUUCUAGGGCAAGGCAGAGGUGGGAGACAGCCCGGGUCUUCAGGUCAGUGAAGUGAUGCCUCAGUCUGAUAGUGUCUGAAGAAUUGCUGGGGCCAUUGUGGCAACUGAGGGCAAAGAAGUGAGAACAGAAGCAAGAAAAAGUGUUGCACAAACUCUUGGAAUUGUUACUGUUGAAAGGCUGCAUUUCGCUUCUGAUUUCCUCAUCUUUUGCUACAAAGAAAAAAGAAAUCCAAUGAUGUGUCUGCAUUUGAUGAGAAGAAAACACUAACAACAGCAGUGUAGGUGUGUUUGUUUGUUUUCCUCCUUUCCGGGAAAAAUAUUUUUAAUAUUCACCAAUUAGCGAGUUGAAAGCUGCGGAGAUGUAAAAGAUGUUCCCUUGUCCACAUCUCUUGGUUGACUUUCGUCACUUGAGUUUUGUAGGCUUUUGUACCAGAAAGAAAUUGAGAGAAAGAGAAUUAGACACUUGCCAAGGAACAACAAUAUAUACACUUUCAAGCAACUCCAUCCAAUCCUGUAUUUGAGUGCUGAUAGGGAGGAGGAGGGGGUGCUAUACUAUUUUCCCCUAAUAAAUCCCAAAGCCGCAUUCUACA